UCCAUGGACAGAUGCCAGAUGCCGUCCCUGAACAUGAAGCUGUAUCUGGUCUAGGAGGAUCUUUUAUUGCUUGCGGUGCCUGCCUCUCAUUUUCCAGCCCCAAUACUGUUGCCCACGUCACAAUUCAUGUCUGUGACUCCCAACCUCUCGUUAUGUUUUUCUUUUCGCCUCGCCCCCUGCUUUCAUUUGGAUCAGCGUAUUGCCACAGAGUCGGCGAUUUUCAGCCUCUUUUUACACUGCCAAUAAACGUAAAUUAUUAAGCGGUGAGAUGCAUACACGAGUGACUCCAUCCGCAUGACCUGCUUGACGUACGGGGAACUCCAGAGGCUAGGCUGCGGAAAUGAAAGGAAUGAUGGAUGGGUGGACGGGUUGUGCUCAAGAAACAAGAGAGUUACGCUGCAUUCAGUGUGCGCUCCCUUCAUAUACAUAAAGAAAACUCAUGUCUACGACGGUGCGAUGAACGCCAGACGGGGGAAAAAAGACCCGCUUUCGAUAAAAAUAAAAAAAAUAACCGUUAGCCGGUGGGCUAAUAGCUAUCUUGAAGAUACGAUCGACACCACUCGCUUUGGGAAUACCUUGAUAAUGUCAAGAGGCAAAGUGAUCAACUGUUAUUAGAUUUAAAAUCAUUUCUUACUGUGUGACAGUAGGAUACUGGCGGAAGAAAAGUCGAUGGGGUCGGCCUGGUCCUGCGGGUCUGAAGGACCACAGCAAUCCCGCAGAGGAGACAGCGAGACUGCGAUUACAUUACAGAAUGUAAUGGUUCUAAACUCCACCCCUUCCAGCCUGCAUAGUACAUCCUGGUCCAAACAUUGAGAAAAACUGGACAUCUGUCUGACCAUCCACCUGUAUAUCCCUACUAAUCUAAUGCAGGUUUGUGAAGUUGUCAGUCUUGUAUAUUGUAUUAAUUGUAUUUGUAACUGCAGUUCAGAGUCCAUGACCAAUUUUUCUACAGGGACAAUAAAAUAUGAUCUAUUUCUCUA